rnacentral:rRNA from 1 species
AUGAACGCUAGCGACAGGCUUAACACAUGCAAGUCGAGGGGCAGCACAGGUAGCAAUACCGGGUGGCGACCGGCGCACGGGUGAGUAACGCGUAUGCAACUUGCCUAUCAGAGGGGGAUAACCCGGCGAAAGUCGGACUAAUACCGCAUGAAGCAGGGGCCCCGCAUGGGGAUAUUUGCUAAAGAUUCAUCGCUGAUAGAUAGGCAUGCGUUCCAUUAGGCAGUUGGCGGGGUAACGGCCCACCAAACCGACGAUGGAUAGGGGUUCUGAGAGGAAGGUCCCCCACAUUGGUACUGAGACACGGACCAAACUCCUACGGGAGGCAGCAGUGAGGAAUAUUGGUCAAUGGGCGUAAGCCUGAACCAGCCAAGUCGCGUGAGGGAUGAAGGUUCUAUGGAUCGUAAACCUCUUUUAUAAGGGAAUAAAGUGCGGGACGUGUCCCGUUUUGUAUGUACCUUAUGAAUAAGGAUCGGCUAACUCCGUGCCAGCAGCCGCGGUAAUACGGAGGAUCCGAGCGUUAUCCGGAUUUAUUGGGUUUAAAGGGUGCGUAGGCGGCCUUUUAAGUCAGCGGUGAAAGUCUGUGGCUCAACCAUAGAAUUGCCGUUGAAACUCGGGGGCUUGAGUAUGUUUGAGGCAGGCGGAAUGCGUGGUGUAGCGGUGAAAUGCAUAGAUAUCACGCAGAACCCCGAUUGCGAAGGCAGCCUGCCAAGCCAUUACUGACGCUGAUGCACGAAAGCGUGGGGAUCAAACAGGAUUAGAUACCCUGGUAGUCCACGCAGUAAACGAUGAUCACUAGCUGUUUGCGAUACACUGUAAGCGGCACAGCGAAAGCGUUAAGUGAUCCACCUGGGGAGUACGCCGGCAACGGUGAAACUCAAAGGAAUUGACGGGGGCCCGCACAAGCGGAGGAACAUGUGGUUUAAUUCGAUGAUACGCGAGGAACCUUACCCGGGUUUGAACGCAUUCGGACCGAGGUGGAAACACCUUUUCUAGCAAUAGCCGUUUGCGAGGUGCUGCAUGGUUGUCGUCAGCUCGUGCCGUGAGGUGUCGGCUUAAGUGCCAUAACGAGCGCAACCCUUGCCACUAGUUACUAACAGGUAAAGCUGAGGACUCUGGUGGGACUGCCAGCGUAAGCUGCGAGGAAGGCGGGGAUGACGUCAAAUCAGCACGGCCCUUACAUCCGGGGCGACACACGUGUUACAAUGGCGUGGACAAAGGGAAGCCACCUGGCGACAGGGAGCGAAUCCCCAAACCACGUCUCAGUUCGGAUCGGAGUCUGCAACCCGACUCCGUGAAGCUGGAUUCGCUAGUAAUCGCGCAUCAGCCAUGGUGCGGUGAAUACGUUCCCGGGCCUUGUACACACCGCCCGUCAAGCCAUGGGAGCCGGGGGUACCUGAAGUCCGUAACCGCGAGGAUCGGCCUAGGGUAAAACUGGUGACUGGGGCU